UUUGCCUGGGACUUUCCUGUGUUAGCCCUGGAAGUCCCUUUGUCCUGGGAAGCCCCUCUGCCUAGGGCACAUGGGGACAGUGGUUAGUGGGUAGGCUCUGUGUUUGGCUGUCAUUCAAGGUGGCUUUGGCUGCUUGCUUGUCAUUCUGAGUGUGGGGACACACAUGCUACCCUGGUUGUCAGCAGGUGAGAAGGGGGCUCUGAUCAGCUUCUCACUGGAUUUAGAGAAGAGCAGAUGCCCCUGAUCAGCUUCUCACUGGAUUUAGAGAAGAGCAGAUGUCCCAGACUUGUAGCUGCCAUUGCCUCUCUCUUUCGGAAAAUGAGAGUUGCUAAGAGGGCAAGCUUUCUUAGAUGAAGAAGCCAGACACAGAAGACACCAUUGGAAGUAUUUGAUACACACAUGUCUUUCUUUGAGACCAGCUAACAGAUUUUGAAUUCCUUGAGGAACUGGACCACUUCUUCCUUAUUCCUGGGUACCAAGUACCUCGUGUGCAUAAUAUGAGGCACCUUUAUAGCAGAGCCUUCAGAGGUAUCUUUUGCUCUGAAUAACACCAGAAAGAGCAUCUAGUGGAAAGAUGCUGUGUUGCUCUUGGAGUCAAAGGAAGGGCUGACCAACCAGGCCAUGGGAAGCCAGCCAGAGCAGCUUGGAAAUCUCACCACAAGGGCUCUUUGGCUCUUUUGAUGCUACCACUGGAUGGUGAAGCUCCAGCUUCCUCCUUGCUCCAUGGUCUUUGCUCAGCAUUCAAAUUCCCAGGAGAACACAGCUGAUGCAGCUUGGGUUACAAGCCACCUCUGGGACCAUCGACUCUAUCAUGUGGAAGGUGGAAGACAUAAUUUUCAAAGGAAAGUGGGGAUACCAGAAGAAAAGGCAAAUAAGUCCUGGAUAGACCAAAAUUACAAAUGUUCAUUGGAGUAUGGGAAACACAGGUUCAAAUGUUACCUUUUCUAUUCAUUAUUUGUGUAACUUUAAUUUACUUGAGAUUACUUUCUCCCACUCUAAAAUGAAAAUUAUAUUAGUUUCUUCCUUAUAGUGUUGUUGUGAGAAUUAAAUGAGAUAAUAGAGGCAAAUCUUGGAGGCACUGUGGGUUCAGUUCAAGACUACUGCAAUAAAGGG
rnacentral:lncRNA from 10 species